AAGGAUUUUUGUCAUUGGUUUAUGUAG
rnacentral:piRNA from 1 species